AUACGGAGGGUGCAAGCGUUGUUCGGAAUUACUGGGCGUAAAGGGCGCGUAGGCGGGCCAAUCAGUCUGGUGUGAAAGCCCGGGGCUCAACCCCGGAAGGGCACUGGAAACUGUUGGUCUUGAGUUCGGGAGAGGAAGGCAGAAUUCCCGGUGUAGGAGUGAAAUCCGUAGAGAUCGGGAGGAAAAUCAGUGGCGAAGGCGGCCUUCUGGAACGAAACUGACGCUGAGGCGCGAAAGCGUGGGGAGCAAACAGGAUUAGAAACCCUAGUAGUCCC
rnacentral:rRNA from 1 species